UACGAAGGGGGCUAGCGUUGCUCGGAAUUACUGGGCGUAAAGCGCACGUAGGCGGCUUCUUAAGUCGGUGGUGAAAUCCUGGAGCUCAACUCCAGAACUGCCUUCGAUACUGGGAAGCUCGAGUCCGGGAGAGGUGAGUGGAACUGCGAGUGUAGAGGUGAAAUUCGUAGAUAUUCGCAAGAACACCAGUGGCGAAGGCGGCUCACUGGACACGUAUUGACGCUGAGGUGCGAAAGCGUGGGGAGCAACAGGG
rnacentral:rRNA from 1 species